rnacentral:lncRNA from 1 species
CUCUGAUUGGCUGGCCGGAGGCGGAGCGAUUGUCAGGCGGCCCAAUCGGAGCGUGGUUUCCCACGGGCUCCCGCGGCCCCGCCCCCACGGCCUCCGGUGGAGGCUCCCUGGCAGCUCCCAUUGGCUGCCGGCGAGCGGUCCAGAGCUCGGCGGGGCACAUCUGCGCCGCCGCCGUCGGGCGCUCAGCUCUGCAGCGCGGAGAUCGCUUUGGAGCUCUCAGCUCCAGGGCCCCAGCGGCCCCGCAUUGUGCCCGGCGCGGGCGCGGGCGCGGGGAUCUGGGGCGGGCUUUGCAGAGCGCAUUUCCUGGAGGUUCUGCUUCUCAGCCACAGAUGGAAAAGAUGGAAUAUCUCUUCCUAGCUCCUAACCUAGCUGUCUCAGUCCAUUCAGGCCACUGUAAUAAAGUACCAGAAACCAGGUUGCUAGUUGAUGGCUGCAUUCCAGAUGUUAACACUGUCAGAAGCUUGACUUCCAUGUGGUAUUAUGACAAGUACUGGAGAAGGCUUAUGAUCGCCCAGUGGAUGAGACAUGUAUCCGUGCAUACAUGGAUCUGUGCAUACAUGAAGACAGGACUGUAAGGCAGAAGGAGAAGUAUGCAAAACUUAGAAGAGAAAUGCCUGUUGUGUUAGGAUCUGCAGAGGAGAUCUUUUCUCCUGAUCACUGCCAUAAAUAUUUGAAGAUGAGAUCGGGGGGGUCCUCAAAUUAUUGUCUGCGGACCAAAUCCUGCAGGCUUUCUGGUUUUGUGCAAUCAUUGAAAUACAAAUACUUUUUAUAUUUUUAAAUGGCUGAGAAUUAAAAAAACCCCACAAGGGCAAUAUAGUCAUGUGCCACAAACCAUGUUUCAGUCAGUAAUGGGUCAUACAUUGUUCAGUGGCCCCAUAUAAGAUUUCGUUGUCUGCGAUGUUGUAGCUGGUUUAGUUUGUAUACAUACAUUCUAUGAUGUUUGUACAACGAUGAAGUAGCCUAACGAUGAGUUUCUCAAAAUGUAUCCCCCUCAUUAAGUGAUACACAGCUGUAAUAAUUUGUGCCCUGUGAAAAUAAUAUGAAUUUCAAAUUUCAGUGUUCACAAUAAAGUUUUAUUGGAACAAAGCCAUACUUGCUCAUAUUGCCUGUGGUUGCUUUUACAUUCCAAUAACAGAAGCGAAUCAUCACGACAGAGAGAGUAUGGCCUUCAAAGC